rnacentral:rRNA from 1 species
AGAGCUCGUAGGCGGUUUGUCGCGUCUGCUGUGAAAACCCGAGGCUUAACCUCGGGCCUGCAGUGGGUACGGGCAGACUAGAGUGCGGUAGGGGAGAAUGGAAUUCCUGGUGUAGCGGUGGAAUGCGCAGAUAUCAGGAGGAACACCGAUGGCGAAGGCAGUUCUCUGGGCCGUUACUGACGCUGAGGAGCGAAAGCGUGGGGAGCGAACAGGAUUAGAUACCCUGGUAGUCCACGCCGUAAACGUUGGGAACUAGAUGUGGGGACCUUUCCACGGUCUCCGUGUCGCAGCUAACGCAUUAAGUUCCCCGCCUGGGGAGUACGGCCGCAAGGCUAAAACUCAAAGGAAUUGACGGGGGCCCGCACAAGCGGCGGAGCAUGCGGAUUAAUUCGAUGCAACGCGAAGAACCUUACCAAGGCUUGACAUAUACCGGAAACUUCCAGAAAUGGUUGCCCCGCAAGGUCGGUAUACAGGUGGUGCAUGGUUGUCGUCAGCUCGUGUCGUGAGAUGUUGGGUUAAGUCCCGCAACGAGCGCAACCCUCGUUCUAUGUUGCCAGCACGUCAUGGUGGGAACUCAUAGGAGACUGCCGGGGUCAACUCGGAGGAAGGUGGGGAUGACGUCAAAUCAUCAUGCCCCUUAUGUCUUGGGCUUCACGCAUGCUACAAUGGCCGGUACAAAGGGCUGCGAUACCGUAAGGUGGAGCGAAUCCCAAAAAGCCGGUCUCAGUUCGGAUUGAGGUCUGCAACUCGACCUCAUGAAGUCGGAGUCGCUAGUAAUCGCAGAUCAGCAACGCUGCGGUGAAUACGUUCCCGGGGCCUUGUACACACCGCCCGUCAAGUCAUGAAAGUCGGUAACACCCGAAGCCAGUGGCCUAACCGCAAGGAGGAGCUGUCGAAGUGGGAUCGGUGAUUAGGACGAAGUCGUACAGGG